rnacentral:rRNA from 1 species
GAUGAACGCUGGCGGCGUGCCUAAUACAUGCAAGUCGAGCGAACAGACGAGGAGCUUGCUCCUCUGACGUUAGCGGCGGACGGGUGAGUAACACGUGUAUAACCUACCUAUAAGACUGGGAUAACUUCGGGAAACCGGCGCUAAUACCGGAUAAUAUAUUGAACCGCAUGGUUCAAUAGUGAAAGACGGUUUUGCUGUCACUUAUAGAUGGAUCCGCGCCGCAUUAGCUAGUUGGUAAGGUAACGGCUUACCAAGGCAACGAUGCGUAGACGACCUGAGAGGGUGAUCGGCCACACUGGAGCUGAGACACGGUCAAGACUCCUACGGGAGGCAGCAGUAGGGAAUCGUACGCAAUGGGCGAAAGCAUGACGGAGCAACGCCGCGUGAGUGAUGAAGGUCUUCGGAUCGUAAAACUCUGUUAUUAGGGAAGAACAGAUGUGUAAGUAAAUAUGCACGUCUUGACGGUACCUAAUCAGAAAGCCACGGCUAACUACGUG